AUUUUCCGAAACCAGGUUCGCACAUUGUGUUUUGUUUUUUCAUUUUCACCUGCAUAUGAAUUCCGUUUUACUUGUGAAUGAUAUUUAGCAUCAGACUUCUUAUUUUCACACUUUUACCUCUUUGCUUAAGCAUUUAGCCAUUUAGGUUAAAAGACUCAAUACAGGCUAAUUUUGUGAGGGUAUAAAAUUUGGACCAAUAGUUUUGAGCUCUUUUAAAAAAUAAAAACAAUGAAAUAAAUUGAAGAAAACUAACAGAUUAGGAACACUGCAAAAUAGAAUUUUUGUGACUUACCUCAUUAAUCAAAGAAAUUACAGUCGUUAGGAACCAAAUAAAGCUCCUCGUUGAAUUAGGAAUCAAAGGUAGUAAGUACUGAUCAAGAAGUGGUUAUUAGAGGGGGGAGGAGUUGAUAUUAUAGAGGGAGAGAUGAGUUGAAAAGAGCUUACUACACAGAAA
rnacentral:lncRNA from 1 species